UUUUGUUUUCUUUUUGAGACAAAGUUUCUCUCAGUGUCCCUGGCUGUCCUGGAAUUUGAUCUGUAGACCAGACUGAACUCAAACUCAAGAUUACCAACUUGUUUCUGCCUCCCGAGUUGGAGGAGCAUCCUGUGUGCUAGGACUAAAGUGCUUUUCGAGGAAGCAAUCUGAAGCAGGAUACUCUCUGGAGAUGUGGAGAAUCCUCUGACGAUCAUUUGACUGUGAGCUGCUGCUGCCCUGACUGAUGUUCAGGAAGCCAACAUAAACAAUGAAGGAAAUAAGGAGAAAGGCUCUAUUCACAAAAGCAAUGUAACAGUAGGUAUGCCAAGACACUUAUGAAGAAAAUUAGCUGACAGGAAUGUGUGAAUAAGAGAAAGUGUGUUACUAAAUCAAAACUCAAUCCAAAACAACUGAAGAUGGAGGGCAGAGGCAGAUGGCACUCUACUGUAUCCCCAUGAGCUGAUCAGAAGAGAAGGCCACAGACAACAACAGAGAGUUAAAAAAAAAUCUACAAGUAUUGAAUGUUAGAUUUACGAACGAACUAACAUACUGAAACUCAGAGGACUGGUCAGAAGAGCAGAAGAGGUGGGAAGGCUUGCUCUGGGGCCACAAAUGGAAGAGAAAGUUCCAGGGACUGAACUGCAACA